rnacentral:rRNA from 1 species
UACAGAGGUCUCAAGCGUUGUUCGGAUUCAUUGGGCGUAAAGGGCUCGUAGGCGGCCAACUAAGUCCGACGUGAAAUCCCCAGGCUUAACCUGGGAACUGCGUCGGAUACUGGUUGGCUUGAAUCCGGGAGAGGGAUGCGGAAUUCCAGGUGUAGCGGUGAAAUGCGUAGAUAUCUGGAGGAACACCGGUGGCGAAGGCGGCAUCCUGGACCGGCAUUGACGCUGAACAGCGAAAGCCAGGGGAGCAAACGGG